rnacentral:lncRNA from 1 species
GGACAUUACAAUUUAGGGAAAAAGGCCCAAGAAAUAUUUGGAUGGUGUGGCUCCCCAGACCAAGGAAUCUACAGUCCAGCGGGAGCUAUGUGUUCUAGAAGAGAAGAUAUCUGAGCCUGCUAUGUGGCAGAUCAUCAUGAGAACCAAUUAAAUUGGGACAGGCAAGGCCCUGGAAAGAUAUGGCCAGUGACAGAGAACUUCUACGUGUGAUCAAGGACUUAAAGAAUACAGUGACUACGUUAAACAAAAACUAUCAGGAACAGGGGCUGCCAGUGACCGAUGGCAGUCCAGAGUUGCAGCAGCUCUGUGCUCAGCUGGAGUUCUUGUUGCAGGUUAGAGACUAGAUAGACUCUACNAGCAUGAUUUUCUCUUUU